GACGAACCGUGCAAACGUUAUUCGGAAUCACUGGGCUUAAAGGGCGCGUAGGCGGCUCGCCAAGUCGGGGGUGAAAUCUUUCGGCUUAACCGGAAAAGUGCCUUCGAUACUGGCGGGCUUGAGCGAGGUAGGGGCAUGUGGAACUUCCGGUGGAGCGGUGAAAUGCGUUGAUAUCGGAAGGAACGCCGGUGGCGAAAGCGACGUGCUGGACCUCUUCUGACGCUGAGGCGCGAAAGCUAGGGUAGCGAACGGG
rnacentral:rRNA from 1 species